GAAAUGCAGCAUGCUGCUCGACACGAUUAUCGCAUUAUUAACAACUAAGGCUGCUUGUUGAAUGACGAUUCAACCUGAUCUUCGCUGUACGUAUCGUACAACAAUCUACACGAGUUGUUGGCGAAUGCCUAGCUCUGCAACGUUGUAACUAACUGCUAACGUAAAAGUGAACCAGGAAUUUCAUAUCUACACUAUUCAGAUAUGAGCGGAGCAUUUAAUACAAAUAAACCGUAGAUAACAGUGGAAAACACAAAUAAUGGAUACGUAGAGCUAUAUGUAUAAAUAUGUAUAAGCCGACUGGAAUAAUCACCAUAAUUUAUACAUCUCUGGUGAAACAUUUUUACCAUCAAAAUUUCUCAGCGUAACUUUGGAAAGUCUAUUUUUAGUACAAGUUUAUGAAUUGAGGAACCAGAAUCAGAAUCUACGGAGAAAAAUCUCUUUGUUGUUCAAACAGUUAAAAUAAUUUGAUAAGAAUAAUGAUCUUUACGGAAAUCUGAUGGCAAAAAAAACUUUCACCAGGGAAAAGCUACAUCAGUUUAUUUCUUUUACGCAUUAUAUGUCUGAACAGAAAAUGUGUAACAAAAAAUACUUGUGGGAUGAAAUAAAAUUAUACCAGGUGUAUGUCAUGUGGUAAAACGAAUAAAUAUCGUAUAAACUUAAAUUAAAUAAACAGUGUGAAU